GUUUAUAUCAAAAUUAUAGGGAAUGAGAAUGACAUAUUCAAUUUGAUAUAAGUAAGCUUUCUAAUGAGAAAAAUUCUCCUUUCAUUGUUAUAGAUUACAGAAUAUUCCAGAAAAAAGCAGGAUAUCUUAAGACCCCACUCUCACAGAUGAAAGAGUGUACGGGUUUGAUUGCAUUAAGUAGCACUUCUUAUCUGUUCUUCCCAUACACACAAUGGGUAAAAUCGCCGGUUGGCAUACAAUGGUGUCAAGUGGAGAUAAUGUUAUUUAGUCUCUUUGAUUAUUAUGCUGUAUUCAACUAAACCUCACUAUUCCAGACUUCCAAUAAUAUACGGAAUAAUGAACAGACUUGUUCCCAACUUAAAGACUCUUCCCUAUGCAGUUAUAAUUGUACAUGAAAAAUCAAACAUCGCUAGAUUCCCAAAGAUUCAAUGUGGCAUGUGCAUUCAAGUCUUUAGUUAUCUCCCUGUGUGAGUGGGGCCUUUUAGAUAUACUUCAUUUUCAUUAGUAUUAGCCAUAAGACUAAAGCAAAUCAUUAAAAAAAUUAUAUACA